rnacentral:rRNA from 1 species
AUGAGAGGUACCGAGAGCGGGGCGAGGCGGUGCGGGCAGCGGUCGUCAAGCGCGACCCACUCGCCGGAGUUGGGGUCGUUCCAGAUGACGAGGUCGCGGUUGAGGAGCUGGAACGGGGUGGGCACGCGUGGGUCCAGGUCCUCCACGAGCGAGACCGGGUACCAUCAUCCUGCUCUGCGCCUUGGUGUGAGGCGUCUGCCCCUCCGUUGCCGGCGUCGGGGCUCUGAAGCGCUCCGCCUCCACGUCGUAUCGAAGCACCGCGAAGUACUCGACCCGCUCCUCGAGGAAGAGCGCGUAAGUGCGCACCCGUGCGGAGUAGUCCUAGGCCAGGUGGCCAGAGUCGUCCUUGAAGUUGGACAUCUGCAGCGUGUGUCCCCGGCACCGCCCGUGGCUCAGCAGCUCCUCCCUAAACGCGCCGCCGUCGCCCGCCCGUGGCUCAGUCCGGAGAUGAGGUUGGGGCAGAGUCAAAGUCGACCGCGGAGGGCGACCUGCGGCGCGGGGGAGUGGAAGGGGAGGGUGGGGCUUGAAGUGGAGGCCGCGCGGAGGCGGGCGAGGAGGAUGGGGUGCGUGCUGAGGCGGACAAUGGCGAAUCGAGAUCUGAGGGAGGGAGAGCGUGGCUUGCAGAUGAGGAUCGAGGGGAGGGUCGGGCGUCGUCGGUGGCGUUGGAGAGGAGAUGGGGGGAGGAGGAGUGCGAUGGGAGUUAGGGUUUGGGUCGGUGGCUGUGGGUGGGGUUUGGGUAGGUGGCUGCGGGUGGGGUUUUCUUUUUCAUUUUUUUCAUUUUUGUAG